AUUUUUACUAAAAAAAGGCAGAACCCAUCAUUAUGGUUUUGCACCCUUUCCCACGGUAUCAUGAUUACAAGAUUCAAACUUCAUUUUCUUCCAGGAGGAAUAAAAAGGGGAGGGAGCAACAGGAAGAGGGGUUACUCUCUUAUCUUCAUGAUCUAGGUUUUUUUUUUUCAUUUCACAGUGCCUCCAUUUUUUAUGAUCCCCAUCCAAUCCACCACCCAAAAGAAAAAACAAUGGUGUUGUCCCUUCAUCAGCUCAUGCCUCAACCAACAUAGGAACCUUCAUGUUCAUUAGCUUAAACCCUUCCAUCUAUCCAUCUUUGUCCGAAAAGCCUUACAUUGUGGGAGUGAUUGGAACCAGUGGGGAGUGUUCAAGGAGAAGAAGAAAAAAGUGUAACAAGAGGUGAGAAACACACAAACUAAUCCCAAGGAAGAGGGGACUGGAAGACUUGCAGCCAUACCAGGUUCGUGUGAGUCACUGAGCAGAGGAGUUGAGCAAAUUGGUGCGGGUUGCAAUGAGAAUUGGGUUGUGGAAGCCAUUUUUGGAAGAAGGAGCAAAGGUUAGGAGAGUUUUAGUUGAAGGACAUUCCUCCAAAUUUGAUUUCAGCAAGGAUUCCAGGUAUUUGGGUGAAGCAAUUUUGGAGCUUGGACGUCAAUAUUCAGUUGAAGAGAGUCGCCACGUCAUUUCCACAUCAUUUCCAUGUCAUUUCCACGUCAGCAAAGUCAAUGGGUCAACAUUUAAGGCCCAGAGUGGCAUUUUUGUAAUUUUGCAACUCACAAUGGCAGUUUCGUAAUUCUGAGUGGCAGGGGUGAUAUGACCACGAAAUUAGGUCUGCAUAGGGGAGACCAACCGCUCCUUCUUCUGCACUCUCUCAAACCUCCAUUUUUGUUGUUUUUAAGCUUUGGAAGGUGACCUAUGGUGGCACACACGAAUUUUUCACGUUUUCCAUUGGUUUUUCACGUUUUAUGAGUCUUGGACAGCACAUUGAAGUUGUAUUAACGUUUUCUACCAUUUGGGUAACAUUUAUAUUGAAGUAUUUUCGUUU